GCUUUCAACUGACUGUUGAUCCAAAGCCACGUCUUCAACGCUCUUCUACAACUCCGAGUGAGAACCGCUUCAGACGACUCAGCGCGUGCAGCAAGGGAACUGAACGAAUCAUUCAAACUGAUUCGCGAAACGAUUCACUGGUCUGCCAACUGGUUUGAUCAAGCCUUCGAACAGAAUUGACUCAAAAGAAUGAAUCAUUCGCGAACGGGCAUCGCUCAUUGCCCAGAAAAAAAAGUAGACGGCGCGCUUGGAAUAAAUUGAAGGAUUUUUAACUUGUACUGCAUUAAGAUGAAGUAACAAGAGGAGCGUCGCCCACAGUAACGAACAAUGGCGGAUCAUGGAGCCGCUCAAUAGUUCCUGGAAGUUCGCGCUCAUACUAUCAGCGCCAUAGAGAUACAGCAGAAGAGACCGCUGUGAUGAACUUUUAAAAGAACAAGAACCACCUGAAGACUCCCUGUAAUGAGAAAUCACCCUCACAAUGAGUCUUCACUGGGUUUGGCAAGUCUUUCCCUGUUCUUUGUGAAAAAGUGUCAGUUCCCAUAUGAUUACAUCACAUUUUGUUAGUGUAAUCUAUAGAUUGCACCUGCUGACUAUAUCCAGCCUCUUAUGAAGACUUCAGAUGACCAGCACCUGUGAAGAGAUGACGCCAGCCCUUGAGUGGACUUCAGAUGAAGCUGACUCUGAAUAAACAUACAAAACUGCUAAAUUUUCCUUUCAUUGUAAUCAACAUGAUCAAAUCAUGUAACCAUUGCUUUAAUUUAUUCAUUGUUUCUGAACUCAUGACAUUACUUAACUGCAUGAUUUGUAAAGCCUAAUUUUAGAACAUUUCUGCCAUAUGAACAUUACUUUGACACAGUUACACCUGUUAACAGAACUCUUAUUUGUAAUGUAGAAACAUUCAUUUUCUGUAAAGCUGCUUUGA